rnacentral:rRNA from 1 species
GUGGGGCAGCAGGGGUAGUAAUACCCGCUGGCGACCGGCAAACGGGUGCGGAACACGUACGCAACCUUCCUUUAACUGGAGAAUAGCCCCUCGAAAGAGGGAUUAAUACUCCGUAACAUGUACAUGUGGCAUCACAAGUACAUUAUAGCUCCGGCGGUUAAAGAUGGGCGUGCGCCUGAUUAGAUAGUUGGCGGGGUAACGGCCCACCAAGUCUGCGAUCAGUAACUGGUGUGAGAGCACGACCAGUCACACGGGCACUGAGACACGGGCCCGACUCCUACGGGAGGCAGCAGUAAGGAAUAUUGGUCAAUGGACGCAAGUCUGAACCAGCCAUGCCGCGUGGAGGAUUAAGGCCCUCUGGGUUGUAAACUCCUUUUAUCUGGGAAGAAAUCCACGAAUUCUUUUGUGGUUGACGGUACCAGAGGAAUAAGCACCGGCUAACUCCGUGCCAGCAGCCGCGGUAAUACGGAGGGUGCAAGCGUUAUCCGGAUUCACUGGGUUUAAAGGGUGCGUAGGCGGGCAGGUAAGUCCGUGGUGAAAUCUCUGAGCUUAACUCAGAAACUGCCAUGGAUACUAUUUGUCUUGAAUAUUGUGGAGGUGAGCGGAAUAUGUCAUGUAGCGGUGAAAUGCUUAGAUAUGACAUAGAACACCAAUUGCGAAGGCAGCUCACUACACAGUUAUUGACGCUGAGGCACGAAAGCGUGGGGAUCAAACAGGAUUAGAUACCCUGGUAGUCCACGCCCUAAACGAUGAUUACUCGACAUCAGCGAUACACUGUUGGUGUCUGAGCGAAAGCAUUAAGUAAUCCACCUGGGAAGUACGAUCGCAAGAUUGAAACUCAAAGGAAUU